rnacentral:rRNA from 1 species
UUUAAAUUGAGAGUUUGAUCCUGGCUCAGGACGAACGCUGGCGGCGUGCUUAACACAUGCAAGUCGAGCGAUGAAGCUUCCUUCGGGAAGUGGAUUAGCGGCGGACGGGUGAGUAACACGUGGGCAACCUGCCUCAAAGAGGGGAAUAGCCCUCCGAAAGGAGGAUUAAUACCGCAUAAAGUUAGAGUUUCGCAUGAAACUUUAACCAAAGGAGUAAU